rnacentral:rRNA from 1 species
GACGAACGCUGGCGGCGUGCUUAACACAUGCAAGUCGAACGGAAAGGCCUGUCCUUCCUUGUGUUGGACGGGUACUCGAGUGGCGAACGGGUGAGUAACACGUGAGUGAUCUGCCCCCAACUUGGGUAUAAGCCUGGGAUACUGGGCCUAAUUCCCGAUAGGACUGCAGGGUGGUGCCUGUGGUGGAAAACUAUUUUCUAGUGGUUGGGGAUGAGCUCUCGGCCUAUCAGCUUGUUGGGGGGGUAAUGUCCUACCAAGGCGGCGACGGGUAGCCGGCCGGGGAGUGUGGACGGCGACAUUGGGACUGAGAUACGGCCCAGACUCCUACGGGAGGCAGCAGUGGGGAAUAUUGCAGAAUGGGCGGAAGCCUGAUGGAGCGACGCUGCGUGGGGGAUGACGGCCUUCGGGUUGUAAACUACUUACGACCGCGAGGAAGCCGCCUGGUUGGAAGGGUGGUGACGGUAGUGGUAGAAGAAGCACUGGCUAACUACGUG